CUUUGCGCUAAAAGCAAAUACCCCACUGGACCGCGCUACAUCAUCAGUGGCCCCGGUGUCGAGACUGGGAAGACAAAAUUCCACCGAUUGGAGAUGGUGAAGGUCCUGGCCUCUGGUUGCCUGGGAAACCGUCAGCAGUAUGGAACACUCCCCCUGCCGUGACCAGCUGUUAGCAGCUGUGCCCGACAGCUUCUAUGAUGACAAACAGAAGAGCGACGGAAACAGCUGUCCUCAUGAUCCACAUGUUAAGUACGGUCGAACAAACUGGUUUUGUUCUUUGCUAAUGACUAUGUACAUGUUGUUCUAAUUCCUGCCGAUGAAAGGGAUGAGCAGCUGGAGUACAGCUUCAAUCUGAAAUUCCUGAGCCUUGACCCCUUCAAAGACUCCCUGUAAAUUUGACUUUCACUUUAAACAGCUGAUUAGAAGACCAUUACUUCUGCCCCGCUGGUCCGCCGGUCCCUUGACUGCCAUUCUGAAGGAAGCUGUUUUUGUGAGAUGGACUCCCCUGCUGUGUUAGUGGAUGCAGUUGAAGGAAAAAAAUAAAAAGAGGCACGAGGCAGCAUUUCUGACAUUUUUUCCUCCUUACAGAAAAGCAUGAAUACUCUCGACAAAUAUUCAAAUACGGAGUCAAAGAACACUUCAUUUCAAAGUGGUGUUAUGGAUGUCG